GGCGGGCCGCGGUGGCGCGCGCACCGUCGGUCUCGCACCUGCCGUGGCUGAAGACCUGGGGCUGCGUGUCCUCGUGGCCUUCCCGCGGUGGGACAGUCGCUUCUUUCUUAAGGCACAAGUGGAGCAGGGGUAGAGAGAAGGGGAUAGAGAAUCAGAAGCGGACUCUUGGCUGACAACAGCUAGCCCGAUGAGUUUGAACUCAUGAACCGUGAGGUCAUGACCUGAGCCGAAGUCAGACCCUCAACCAGCUGAACCACUGAGGUGCCCCUGCAAUCCUGUUCUGCUGGAUAAGUCCUUGUACUUUACUCCUUUGCUGGAAUGAAAUUCAAUAGUCAAGACUCUUCACAAUCUCAGUCCAACUUUUCUAAUUAUCGCCUAUUAGAAGAGACAUCAAGAUGCAAUGGAAAUUUUGACUCUGUGGAAGUUUUGGGCAGAAUCAUACUGAAAAUGAUGAAUUUUCACUGAAGUCUUUUUCCCUUGCAGAGACCCCGCUUAUAUCAAUCAGCUUCUGCCUCACAUUUGCCAGUGCAAAAUGGAACCAAUAUCCUUUGGACUCUGAAAAAGAAUUGCUGCUUCAGUACCCAACUGGCUGAAAGAAGAGAGAAGACAUUAAGGGAGGAUUUGAAGUCUCUACCCCGAUGUUAUAAAUGAUAUCAAAUCUUCCUAGAUCAGGAUACAUCUAGUUGCUAGAUGAAGAGAUUACCCUAAUAAUUUCAGUAAGUACGUGUUGAAGAUGGUUUUCUUUCUCCAAAAUCAAAUGUAACUUUUUUUUUUAAUCUGAAAAGAGUGUUCUGGAUUUCAUUUCAAUUAACUAUGUUAUAAAAAUUUUAUCAAAGAAGGAAUGUCAAUAGUAUCAGGAGAAAUUUUAUGAUAUUUUUAUUGCACAGGAAAUAUGGAUCUAUGGUAUCACUCUCUCUGAUUCCCUUUUCUCACCCCUCCCCCAACAUUUUAAUAUACCUUAAUUUAUAUUUUGAUGAUCAUCCAGGGUAAUUUUUAAGUGAGGAGGGGAAAAGGCACAGUAUAGAUGUGUAUAGACAUUUUUUUAUGUUAAUGAGGGAGAAAUGGGAGUUGGGGUGGAUUCACAAAGAGUAUUAAGCUUCCAGUCUUUUGUUGUUUGGAUUGUGGAGGUGGUGGUUACAUCAUCCACCAGCCAGAACCAUUCCUGCUUUCCCUUCCUCUUAUCUGAGUCUCUGCUUUCAUCAGGGUAGAGAAAUCUUCACUUUGAGGUCAAUUAGCCUAAAACUGCUAAAUCCUAAGGAGAUCCUUACUCAUUACUUCCACCUUGUAUUUAGUUGUGCCUUGUAAACACAAUGGUCAGUGCUCACUAGAUAGAAGCAAAACCAGUAAGCUGAAGAAUUUUAUAUAUAAGUCCUUAUAGAAAGGGGCACGUUUAAUUAAUUUCUGCAUCCAAAAAUCUUAUCACAGAGUGUGGCAUGUAGUAGGUACUCAACAGUGUUUAUUAUGAAUAGGCUGUUCAUUUAACCGGUUGGUUAAACAAGCUGGUCAGGAAAGGAUAACACAGCAAACCACAGAGAAUAACUUCAACGUAAUAAGGACCCAGUAGUUAAGACAAUACUGGCAAGAAAUUAAAAUCCCUUCAAGUACUCAUCAUCUACAUGAUGCUUCUUGGAUUAGUUUAAAUUAUCUAACUCUAGUACAAUGUCUAACACUUGCAUAGUCAUUGCCAACAUUGGAAACGUUUUUACAGACAUCAUUUCACUUAAUACUUCCACAUUUUUGAGGUAUAUACUAUCAGGUCUUCAAUUUUAUAGAUGAUGAUACCAAGGCUCAACAAGGUUAAGGCUAAAUCUCUGGUUAUUUGAAUCCCAAAUCCGGGCUCAUUCCAAAAAGAAUUACCUUCUCUGCUUUAAACAAGUCUCUUUCUUUCAAGGGCAAGUUUCCACAUGCUUUUUUACAUCUUCUAAAUUAAAUCACACAGAUUACCACUUUUCAGAUAGCAGACUUUCAAAUAUUUGUUGAUUUUGACUAACUGAAGCCUGAAAAAGUGGAAGACAUGAGAGAAAUGGGGUGGAGACAUGGGUUGGUUUUCCUAGAACCAAAACUGACUCCUAAAAUCUCCAGAUCAGAUAGCCUUCCAUAAUUUACCAAAACCAAGCCCCAGCCUCUCACUGAGACUAGAAACAGAGGACAGUGUUGUCAACUUCGACAGAAGGGUUUUCACUGGAUUUUUAACUCACGAUACCAUUUGGAGACCUGAGAAAUUGAAGAAAUGAAAUAAACACUUACCUGUCAUUCAUUUCUGUCAUAAUUUCCCUGGGUGGUGUCUGUUUUAUUGUACUGUCAUGGCUCUUGAAUUCUAACCUUUGUAUUCAAUAGACAAUCAGCGGUACUAUGAAAAGCCUGUGACCUAAUCCAGGAAGUAAA